rnacentral:rRNA from 1 species
CAGUAGCCGCGGUAAUACGUAGGUGGCAAGCGUUGUCCGGAUUUACUGGGCGUAAAGCGUGCGUAGGCGGCUUUUUAAGUCAGAUGUGAAAUCCCCGAGCUUAACUUGGGAAUUGCAUUCGAUACUGGGAAGCUAGAGUAUAGGAGAGGAUGGUAGAAUUCCAGGUGUAGCGGUGAAAUGCGUAGAGAUCUGGAGGAAUACCGAUGGCGAAGGCAGCCAUCUGGGAUAACACUGACGCUCAUGCACGAAAGCGUGGGGAGCAAACAGGAUUAGAGGCCCGAGUAGUCCCUGUCUCUUAUAU